GGCGGCGUGCUUAACACAUGCAAGUCGAACGGAAAGGCCCUGCUUUUGUGGGGUGCUCGAGUGGCGAACGGGUGAGUAACACGUGAGUAACCUGCCCUUGACUUUGGGAUAACUUCAGGAAACUGGGGCUAAUACCGGAUAGGAGCUCCUGCUGCAUGGUGGGGGUUGGAAAGUUUCGGCGGUUGGGGAUGGACUCGCGGCUUAUCAGCUUGUUGGUGGGGUAGUGGCUUACCAAGGCUUUGACGGGUAGCCGGCCUGAGAGGGUGACCGGCCACAUUGGGACUGAGAUACGGCCCAGACUCCUACGGGAGGCAGCAGUGGGGAAUAUUGCACAAUGGGCGGAAGCCUGAUGCAGCAACGCCGCGUGCGGGAUGACGGCCUUCGGGUUGUAAACCGCUUUCGCCUGUGACGAAGCGUGAGUGACGGUAAUGGGUAAAGAAGCACCGGCUAACUACGUGCCAGCAGCCGCGGUGAUACGUAGGGUGCGAGCGUUGUCCGGAUUUAUUGGGCGUAAAGGGCUCGUAGGUGGUUGAUCGCGUCGGAAGUGUAAUCUUGGGGCUUAACCCUGAGCGUGCUUUCGAUACGGGUUGACUUGAGGAAGGUAGGGGAGAAUGGAAUUCCUGGUGGAGCGGUGGAAUGCGCAGAUAUCAGGAGGAACACCAGUGGCGAAGGCGGUUCUCUGGGCCUUUCCUGACGCUGAGGAGCGAAAGCGUGGGGAGCGAACAGGCUUAGAUACCCUGGUAGUCCACGCUGUAAACGGUGGGUACUAGGUGUGGGGUCCAUUCCACGGGUUCCGUGCCGUAGCUAACGCUUUAAGUACCCCGCCUGGGGAGUACGGCCGCAAGGCUAAAACUCAAAGGAAUUGACGGGGCCCCGCACAAGCGGCGGAGCAUGCGGAUUAAUUCGAUGCAACGCGUAGAACCUUACCUGGGUUUGACAUGGAUCGGGAGUGCUCAGAGAUGGGUGUGCCUCUUUUGGGGUCGGUUCACAGGUGGUGCAUGGCUGUCGUCAGCUCGUGUCGUGAGAUGUUGGGUUAAGUCCCGCAACGAGCGCAACCCUUGUUCACUGUUGCCAGCACGUUAUGGUGGGGACUCAGUGGAGACCGCCGGGGUCAACUCGGAGGAAGGUGGGGAUGACGUCAAGUCAUCAUGCCCCUUAUGUCCAGGGCUUCACGCAUGCUACAAUGGCUGGUACAGAGAGUGGCGAGCCUGUGAGGGUGAGCGAAUCUCGGAAAGCCGGUCUCAGUUCGGAUUGGGGUCUGCAACUCGACCUCAUGAAGUCGGAGUCGCUAGUAAUCGCAGAUCAGCAACGCUGCGGUGAAUACGUUCCCGGGGCUUGUACACACCGCCCGUCAAGUCAUGAAAGUUGGUAACACCCGAAGCCGGUGGCCUAACCGUUGUGGGGGAGCCGUCGAAGGUGGGACUGGUGAUUAGGACUAAG
rnacentral:rRNA from 1 species